rnacentral:rRNA from 1 species
GUCCAGACUCCUACGGGAGGCAGCAGUGGGGAAUAUUGCACAAUGGGGGAAACCCUGAUGCAGCGACGCCGCGUGAGCGAUGAAGUAUCUCGGUAUGUAAAGCUCUAUCAGCAGGGAAGAAAAUGACGGUACCUGAGUAAGAAGCCCCGGCUAACUACGUGCCAGCAGCCGCGGUAAUACGUAGGGGGCAAGCGUUAUCCGGAUUUACUGGGUGUAAAGGGAGCGUAGACGGCAGUGCAAGUCUGGAGUGAAAGGCGGGGGCUCAACCCCCGGACUGCUCUGGAAACUGUACGGCUGGAGUGCAGGAGAGGUAAGUGGAAUUCCUAGUGUAGCGGUGAAAUGCGUAGAUAUUAGGAGGAACACCAGUGGCGAAGGCGGCUUACUGGACUGUAACUGACGUUGAGGCUCGAAAGCGUGGGGAGCAAACAGGAUUAGAUACCCGGGUA